rnacentral:rRNA from 1 species
CAAGUCCUCAUGGCCCUUAUAGGUGGGGCUACACACGUCAUACAAUGGCCGGUACAAAGGGUCGCAAACCCGCGAGGGGGAGCCAAUCCAUCAAAGCCGGUCGUAGUCCGGAUCGCAGUCUGCAACUCGCCUGCAUGAAGUUGGAAUCGC